CUUGGCCGAUAGCUGCAAUUCUAUUCGUAAAUGCAUAUUUUUGGCAGUGUUUAUCCGAAUUGAACAUUUCCAAUCUUUAAUUAUUUGCAAAUAAUUUGAAUUGAAUAUGGAAGAAGAAGGAGGAACAACUCCAGUGCAGGAUGAACAAGAAUACGACUAUGAAAUGCAGCAGGACGAUGUUGCUAAGAGUGAGGAGGAGAUGGAUGCAGGCUCACAAGAGGAUGAAAGUAGGAUGUCUGCCCAUAGCGGUCCAGAGUCACCCAUGGGUUCACCCCCACACACCCCAGGGCCGGGGUCUCCAGGGGACAGCCCUCCCAUGUCACCCAUAGAGUCACAAGGGCCUGCAUCACCCACUGGUUCACAAGAGGUUGGUUCCCCUGAAAGGUCACAUGAUGAGGGGUCAAGGUCACCGCACCAAAGGUCAAUGAGGUCACCAGGGUCACACGGAAGUCCCCAAUCUGGAAUACGAAGUCCCGAUUCACCUAGGAAUGAAAGCGUCCCAGCCUCUCCCACUUCCAAUGCGGGCAGUAACCCCAGGAGCCCCGACUCUUAUGCCCAGAGCCCACGGGCCUCCCCUGGUGGCCCUGCCUCCCCUGCAGGCUCCUACACAGGAAGUGGCCCCGCAUCCCCAGACCAGCGCAGCCAGUCACCACGCUCCCCCGACAGUCAGGGUCCACGGUCACCAAGCCCAGGUCAAAGGUCAAGGUCACAGUCACCCAGCCAGGAGCACAGUGCACCAGCCUCUCCUGAUGAGCUGGCCAGGUCAAGGUCACCAAGCCCAGGUCAAAGGUCAAGGUCAAACUCACCCAGGCAGCAAAGAAGCAGGUCUGCAUCGCCAUCACAUACAUCUCUAAGGAGUCGUUCUCGAUCUGAGAGUCCUGUUAAUCGUGAUAGGUCAAGAUCAGGUAGUCCAGCACAAAGGUCAAGGUCAGGCAGUCCAGCUCAAAGGUCAAGGUCAGGCAGUCCAGCACAAAGGUCAAGAUCAGGCAGUCCUGUACAAAGGUCAAGGUCAGGCAGUGCAGCUCAAAGGUCAAGGUCAGGCAGUCCAGCACAAAGGUCAAGAUCAGGCAGUCCAGCACAAAGGUCAAGAUCAGGAAGUCCUGUACAAAGGUCAAGGUCAGGCAGUCCAGCACAAAGGUCAAGAUCAGGCAGUCCUGUACAAAGGUCAAGGUCAGGCAGUCCAGUACAAAGGUCAAGGUCCGGAAGUCCAGCAAGUAACAGAAGUGGGUCACAGCCAGGCAGUCCUGCUAGAAGUAGGUCAGGCAGUCCUGCUAGCAAUCGAAGCAGGUCUCGUUCUGCUAGUGUGGGCAGCAACAAAAGGUCGCCCUCUGGUAGUCCAGCUAGACGUAGGUCAGGGUCAGGAAGUCCUGCAAGAAGUAGAUCUAGGUCAGGCAGUCCACAUCGAAGCAGAUCAGGGAGUCCAGCUAGUGGAGGAAACAGGUCACGGUCUGGCAGUGCUGCCAGUGGAAGAGGCCGAUCAAAAAGUGGCUCACGGUCUAGAAGUCGAUCUGGUAGUCCAGCUAGUGGGAGGUCAAGGUCAGGAUCUCCAAGGUCAAGGUCUGGAAGUAGAAGCGGUUCCGGUUCUAGGGGCAGCAGCAGGUCAAGGUCAGUGUCCCCAGCCCCCUACAGCCCCCUGGGCAGCAGGGCAGGAUCUCCCGCACCCAGCGACAAAGAGGCUGGUAGUGACAAGGAAGACCUGGUCGCAGACAUCUUCGGUGCCAGUGACGAGGAGGAAGAGUUCGAAGGGUUCGCUGAGGAAGACGUUGAGGCCACCGCUAAGAAGAAAAAAGCAACCAUAGAGGAUGAUGGAGAUGACCAGGCAGCGGCUGUCAGGGCAAACAUGUCGGACUCUGAGGGGGAGAAUGACGAUGCGGCACGACUAGAUGGCCAGGAUGGACAAGACUUUGUGUCUGACUUUGAUCUCAUGAUGAUGAAGAAGAAAGACGAAAUGUCAAGACGCAAACGUAAACGUAAGGAAUACGACAUCGUCAACGACUCAGAUGACCUCAUAGCCGACAUGAUCAACAAAAUGAAGGUGGCAGCUGAGGAGGACCGAGGUUUGAACAUGGAGAAGAAGCCAGCCAUCCGUAAACUCCAGUACCUGCCUAUUGUCCUGUCACAGCUGAAAAAGGCCGAUCUGCACAGCGCUUUCCUGGACUGCGGUGUGCUCAAUGCAAUGACAGAAUGGAUUGCCCCUCUGCCAGACAAAAGCCUGCCCAAUCUGCAGAUUCGCUCUUCCUUCCUGAAAAUACUGCAAGAGUUCCCCAGCAUUAACCCGGGAGCUCUCAAGGCCAGUGGCAUUGGCAAGGCAGUCAUGUAUCUGUACAAACACCCCAAGGAGAUCAGGGAGAACAGAGAGAAAGCCGGAAAGCUUAUCAACGAGUGGUCUCGGCCCCUGUUCAAUCUCACGUCCAACUACAAGAUGUUGUCCAAGGAAGAACGCGAGCAGAGAGAUUACGAUCAGCUGCCAAAGAAACGCAGAACUAGUUUGGAUGAAGGAGGGCAGACACCAAGGAAGGAUCUUGACAAGUCAUUGAACGUGGAACAGAAAGCCCUGCGGCCGGGUGACCCAGGCUGGGUGUACAGAGCCCGAGUACCAAUGCCCUCAAACAAGGACUACGUGAUACGGCCCAAGUGGAAGACCGAAGAGGAGGGACAGGACGGGGAAGUGGCCAGAAAGACUAUCAAGAAAGAGCCCACUAGAUAUGAGAAGCAAGUGAGGAAAUUUGCAGAAAAGAAGAAAAAUAAGAAGAGCAUGCGUGCAGUGACUAUUAGCAUUGAAGGUCGCAACAUGACCUUGUGAUUGUGUACACGUGUCAGCAACAUUGUGGUUGUACAUAAUACUUUAAACGGCGUACCUGCAUAACAUGCCAAGCAUUUAAGAUGCAUGGGGCUACAUUUAGACACUGGCAUGUCCGUUUUAUGUGAAUAAAACAUUGGUGAUAUUGCUGCUAUGUAGAGAAUUCUCAGAAUUGACAUGACGCCUUAUCUAUGAUCGCUCCGCCCACUAGAAUUGAUCCACCAAUCAGCGAUCGAUUAAUCGGGCGCACUCGUUAGCAACGACCUGUCCGCCAUUUUCUAGACAAGCUACAUGUUAAGGUUCACUUUUAUUCCAACCAGUUUCUUUUGUUUUCCUCUUAAAAUAAACGAUUAAAAAUGGUUAAACGGUUUCAAUGGGGAUUAUGUAACUCGGACAAUCGAUAUCCUGAAAGAUAAGUUGGUGACAUUUAAUUUAUAUCGUUUCCAAAGCCGAAAAGAGAUCUUGAGAAGUGUAAGAGAUGUAUAAAUACAUGCGGUCGUCACCACGAACAACUGAACGUCAACACUGUCAAAGACAAUUAUAAUAUAUUUUUAUCGGAUAUACUAGCAGAUUUAAAUAGUUUAUGUUAUCGAUCUGAUUAUCACAUAAUAUUUCACUUUUUUAAAAAUAGUUUUAUCAGUUACUAGGUCAGAAGCGAGGUACAUCUGCAUUACUUAAAGAGAAAUAAAACCCAGCAUGAAGCCUAAUUCAUGCUGUGAUUUAUUACUCUGAUAGUAAUGCACUUAAUUGACAUCAUACAUGUUAUUUGAAGGUGACAUGUGAUAUAUUAUCUAAUUAACGGUAUCUACACAUAUGCACUCAUGUGGUGUCACCAAUAAACGCUUUUAAUCCACACUAGGAGCUCGAAUGCCUAGAUCUCAUUUUUUAAACGAGUUUCGUUUAUUUUGUUCGGAUUAAAAAACGGAAAUGAAAUAUGGCGAAAACGGUGUAAAAAGGGUUAAUGCAACUCUGAAAUUUGGUAUCCAGAAAGAUAAGUUAGAUAAAUUAAAUUUAUACCAUUUCCAACGCGGCAAUGCGGUCUUGACAAGAGCGAGUGGAAGCGUCAAGAAUUACCGAGAUCCCCUUUAUUGAACAUUAAUUUAUUUCACAAACUUGAAAUGUCAUAUAAGCAAUAACUAAGCAUUAUUAAGUAUGUAUUAUGUCACGUGUGCAUGUAAAAUAAUUGAGAAUUUUGGUACCCAAUUCGUGUAACUUUACGAAAUCCCCGUUAAAAAUCGCGUUUCUGUGUGUGUCAGAAACAAGUGAAAACCAUUUUGUUAUUAUUUUCAUAAAGACGUAUCGAUAAAUGCUAUUGUAAAAGAGUUAUUAUUACUGAUAUUAGUUAACCAAUAAAUGCGGCAACUUCGGGGAAGUCGGUACCUGCGCGAGCGUCUGAUAUUGGUAGCCUUAUUAAUUUAUAAUAGCCUGACCGUAUUCCAUUUCGUACAACGCUAAUUUUAUAUCAGACAAUGUCCAAACUUACUGUGUUGUUUUUGCGCUUUAAAUUGUAGUGAUUGAUAAAUGUCCCAUAAGCAAUGUUUAAUAUGAUUAAUAUCACUUUUAUACGCAAUAACAUGUGGGAUUGAGAUACCCACCCGGCGUCAGAAAGCGCGUAAAACUUCACCGAAUUCCCAGUUAUAAAGCGCUAUUUCGUGUCAAAUACACGGGUAGGGGGGAAUGUUUCGGUAAUAAUUUUGUUAAUAACACUGGUAAAUACCGGUGAAGUGUUAAUUUAUUGCAAAUGCCACCAUUACACAUAAUAACAGGUUCGAUUUCGGUAAGCGCGCAAGCGUUUGAGAGCGUGUUUAAUGUACCGAUUUACCCGUUAUAAAUAGCUGAUGUUCUCUUUAAUCGUAUAUUUUUUGCAUUUGCAGAAUAACUAAAUGCCAUCAACCCCUUUACAAGUGUAAUAUGGUGUUUAACAAGUCCAUAAAAUCAUCCGGAAUAUCGCGUUAAUCUAUAUGCAGUCUAUAGGCAAAAAAGCCAUUUUGGUGUUAGCUUGUCUAGGUUUUCUUCCUGCUGAGCCACGUGAUAAAGUGGGCGGAGCGAUCACUGAUAAGGCGUCAUGUCAAUUGCUUAUUGAACCUUUUAGGUUAUCUCUGAAGCUGUGAGUGUGUGAAAUAUGCUCUACUCAGCAAGCAAGUUGUCUGUCCUUUCAUGUUUGAAAGAGAGUACUCUAUCAUGUAAUGAAAGCUGAGGCUGCUGUCUGUUUAAUACGCCUUGAACAAAAGUUGUAGCAGUUUAAGAAUGUAAAUGAGUGCAUUGAUUAAAAAAAAUGAGCAUACAAGCGCCUUUGUAGCCAAGGGUAUUUUCACAAAUUGGGCAACUUUUUAUAAAGAACAACUUCUUGGGACUUUUCUCACAGAGAAUGAAUUUGUAAAUGUAGGUGAAUUUACUGAUAUUGGAUAAAUACAUUUCUAAAGUGCUUUAAUGCAAAAUGAUAGUGGUAGAUUGAGAUGCAUUUACCAGUGUUUUUAAUUUGAAUAUUUGCUAACAGUUGUAACAUAGAUCUAUAUAUUUCUGAAAGGUUACAUUUUGGCUUUGUUAGUUUUGUGUAGAUGUAUAUGAGCCGCUUUCUUGUAUUUGCCUUAAGUGUCAUCUAAGAUUAGCAUGUGCAGUUUGCACAGGCUAAACAGGGACUACACUUUCCGUUUUAAUGGAAUUUAAAAAGGAAGUCUACUAUAAAUGAUAAGAGUCUUAGCACAAAGUUUUGUACCAGAUUAGCCUGUGAGGACUGCACAUGCUAAUCUGUGACGACACUUUACACACAUGCAUUAAGCCCAGUUUUACAGAACACGGCUCAUAUUUGCUCUGUGACCAUUUGAGUUUGUUGGGUAUAAGCUCUAGUUAAAUAUUAAAACGCCAUUCAUUUCAUAGAGGAACACUUUAAAAUCAUAACUUUGGUAAUAAGCAAUAUAAACUGGAUGUUGGAUGAUCUACUGAUUUAAAUUGCAAGUCAUUGUUGCUGGUUUUAUGCGUUCUUUGUCGUUUUGCUUUUAUCUAAAUUCAUAUUAGGAAUGUGUUUUCAUGUUUGAAGCAUAAUAAAAAGGAGCUGGUACAUAAACAAAUAUCUCCAAAUAAUGAUUUGUUGAAUUGAUUUUGAAUCAGUUUUCUGGCUAAGAACAUAUGUUUAAGAACAUGUAUUUAGCAUUAUGUUUUGUAAGUGUACACUAUUUUUUUUUUUGGAUUAAACGUGUCUUUUUGUUUAGAAAAUUACCAUACAUUAUUAACUACAUGUAGCUCUAUAUCUGGUUUGCAUUUUCAAACUUUAAAAGUUUCUGCAAAAUGUUGUUACUGUACAAGUUUAGCCCCUUAAACCUCCAAACUUGGGCUCAAAUCCUAGCACCACAGGAUGCUCUGAGAAAAUGGAGUUUAAUGCAUGUGUGUAAAGUGUCGUCCAAGCUAAGGGAUGGCACUUUACUCUUAUAUUAAAUUUGUCAUUAAAAGGAAGUCAUUUCUAAAGGAAAAAACAGCAAAGGUUUAAAGUGUAGUCCCUGAGGAGCCUGUGUGGACUGCAAUGACAUCUUACGCACAUGCAUUAAGCCCCAUUUUCCCAGAGCGAGGCUCAAUUUUAUAAAUUUCAGUUGAUGUUAUCCAUAAACAACACUGCAAUAACAAGUUUUGCAAUAUGUUUAUGUGCUUAAAGUGUUGUUUUUUAUCCCCACAAAAAAGGUAUUGUUUUGUAUCUGUGACAUAACUAAUGGUUGACAUGCUUGUAUUUAAAUGCCAUUGUUUCUGACGGACAAAUCAUGCAUUAAAUGUAUGUAUGAGUGUACAUAUUUCUAUUCUAUAAGUGUUCUUAUUGCAAAAUUUGCAAAAUGGAAACUACAUAUAUUGAUUUUCAGAAAUGCUAUGAUGUUUGUCAGAGAGGAUGUUGUACCUUUCUCUUGGCAUAAGUAAAUUGGAACUGAAUAAAAUGCAAAAUUCA